rnacentral:rRNA from 1 species
UACGAAGGGGGCUAGCGUUGUUCGGAAUCACUGGGCGUAAAGCGCACGUAGGCGGAUUGUUAAGUCAGGGGUGAAAUCCUGGAGCUCAACUCCAGAACUGCCUUUGAUACUGGCGAGCUUGAGUUCGGGAGAGGUGAGUGGAACUGCGAGUGUAGAGGUGAAAUUCGUAGAUAUUCGCAAGAACACCAGUGGCGAAGGCGGCUCACUGGCCCGAUACUGACGCUGAGGUGCGAAAGCGUGGGGAGCAAACAGG